AUGUCCACCCUCAGCCAGAUCAUCCCAAUGAUCCACAUCUUGAACAGGAAAAUUGAGAUGCUGUUUGAGGAGACUAUGGGCAUUGACACCAUGCUGAAGUCUUUGAAGGACUUCACCACCAACUGUCUGCCACCCUCCAUGAACCCAGUUCUGAAGUGUGUGAGGAGUGCAGAGAAUGUUCUGGAAGAUAACUGUUUACUACAACAGAGACACGGCCAUUGAAGACAAAAGUAAACUUAGAUGUAUCAUGACAUGUCAGUUAUAUGGUGAUUGAUAAGAAGAACUUUCCCAUUUCUUGUUUCUGCAUUCAGGUUUCACAUGGCCGGUGAACUAGGAGAUGUCCCGACUGUUGAUGGUAUCUGCACUCUCCAAAUAAUGUAAAAGGAGAAGAUCCACGCUAUUUGGAGUAACUUCAAGGUCCUUGAUGUAGCUGAUAAUCUGCUAGUCACUUGGAUACUGAACGUCUACCCAUCUGAUGUGCUCAGUGUCUCCGUUUCCACAAUUAAAGUCGGUAUCCAUCUACUAGUAAAGCAUGUUGAGUAAGUGUU